rfam:Macrostomum lignano uti_cns_0003806, whole genome shotgun sequence.
CAAACGGCCCUUUUAAGGGUCACCUUCCUAAAUUUUUAGCUAUUUA